UUUCGACAACUGAUCAGUCUGAAUACAUCUAGGCUACGGCAUCAGCAUGCUGUGCAUGAAAUUCUUUGCCACAUGGGUUAUAUUACAUCAAGCAGUAGAGGGAUUGAAUUGCCAAGUAAAAGUCUUACCAGACGGCAGAACUUCAUACAAUGUGUCCUUACCGGUGGAUGCUUCUAUUGGAUGUGAUUAUGACUGGAAAAAUAACGCGACCAAUAUUGCCAGUGAUGGAGGAUAUUUGAUUGGUGUUGUUUUGAAGAGCAACCGUGACUCUGUCAUUCUACCCUCCUGCCAGUCCGAAGUCUCAUAUUGGGCUCAAUGCAAUGGGGCAUUGG